rnacentral:rRNA from 1 species
UACGUAGGGGGCUAGCGUUGUCCGGAAUCAUUGGGCGUAAAGGGCGCGUAGGCGGCUUGGCAAGUGGAUGGUGAAAUCCCUCGGCUUAACCGAGGAACUGCCGUCCAAACUGCUUUGCUUGAGACCGGGAGAGGUGAGUGGAAUUCCCAGUGUAGCGGUGAAAUGCGUAGAUAUUGGGAGGAACACCAGUGGCGAAGGCGGCUCACUGGUCCGGUACUGACGCUGAUGUGCGAAAGCGUGGGGAGCAAACAGG